GGCGCAGCAGUCGCGCAACCUCUGCAAUACGCGAAAGCGUGACAGGGCUACCCCGAGUGCCGUCCGCUGAGGAUGGCUUUUCUCCGGUGUAGUAAGCCGGAGGAAUAAGGAGAGGGCAAGUCUGGUGUCAGCCGCCGCGGUAAUACCAGCUCUCCGAGUGGUAGGGACGAUUAUUGGGCCUAAAGCGUCCGUAGCCGGCUUUGCAAGUUUUCCGUCAAAUCCGACGGCUUAACCGUCGGGCCGCGGGAAAUACUGCAGAGCUUGGAGGCGGGAGAGGUCGGCGGUAGUCUUGGGGUAGGGGCAAAAUCCUCUGAUCCCAGGAGGACCACCAGUGGCGAAGGCGGGCGACCAGAACGCGCUCGACGGUGAGGGACGAAAGCUGGGGGAGCGAACCGGAUUAGAUUUGGAAAGGAGAAAUAUCCUUCCACUGAAGACCCGGGUAGUCC
rnacentral:rRNA from 1 species